UCUCCAGAUCCCCCUUUGGCCUUUUCCCCUGGGGCGACUCCGGGGGCCAGUUACCAGCAGUCGCUACCCAGCCUUGGCUGCCUCCGUGAAUCAGGUGCUAAUCAGAGGCCUGGUCUCUGGGGGCUCCCCUGCCUGGGUUUUCUGAGUGCGGCAGAUUUAGGCUGGGGGAUUUCCUGCGGCCCUGCCCCAUGCACCAAGACCGAGAAGCCUCGCCUGGUGGGGAGAGGUGGGCUACGUGACUCACCCCGGGGAGGCCCGACCUCCCUACCCUGGGGGAGCAGAUGGCUGGAUCUCUGACCUCAGACCUCACGGCCUUAGAUGAUGUGUGUCCCUUAAUGUCUGCAUUGUGGUUCUGUCUGGAAUGGAUCAAUUUCUAAACUGUAGCAGAAUUGUUUUGGGUGUUCUAUCAACGUUAUUAAACUCUGAAGUUUCUCUCCAGCGACAGAAUCCUUGAGCCAGUGGUUUUUCUUCUUAAUUUAUGUAUCCUCAACAAUGUCCUGAACAUAGUAGGUGCUUAAUAAAUAUUUGCUGAAUGAGUACAUGCGUCAAUCUGACGUGCCCUGGCUCACCCCUGCUGACUUCAUUUUAUCUUCUUGCUAAGCGAGUUACACACAUGCUGGUCUCCUGUCUGUUCCUUGAGCCUGUCAGGCUUGCUGGGCUGUGCUCUCUAUCCAGACACCUGGAUCCCCAGCUCUCUGCAUACCUGCCUGUUAUCGCUGAGGUAUCAGCCCAAAUGCCAUCUCUCCUAAGAGGCUUUUCCUAACCACCCAAUUCCAGCAUUGUCCAGAGAGAGGCUGCCCAGUUGAAUACCUGAGUUCUCAAGGCCAUGCAGAACAGCCUGACCAUGAGGAUGGGCCCCUGUGGUAUACGACCUCAACUCUUCAAAGGUCACAAUUUCCAGCCUUCCAAGCAGUCUUCUAAUUAUGAACGUGGUUUCCUCCUUUCGCUGAAGAGAUUUGCGGGGCUCAGAUCUCAGCACGGAUAUCUGGAGAGUGUGGGGUCAGGGAAGAGCAGCAAGAGGAAUGGAUAUCCAGACCCCGCAAACAACAACUAACAUGAGGACAACUGCUGGGAAGAGGCUGAAGCAAUUGCAGCAUGAUCACACAAGGUUGGGAUAGAUUUCUUUCUCAUCUCUCAUACACACCCCUUGCAAAAAAAUAGGUGGGCAGAAAAGUCUGGGGCUAAGCUUGCCCUGUUUCAUCAAUGUACAGUUUGCAUUACUGAACAGACUAGAACAAUGUGUCAAUGUAAAAACAUUUAUAUCUGGCUUAAAUGACAACAGUUUAUCUGCCCUCCCUCCCCAAAAUACAAAGCAGUACCUAUCUUACCUCUGAUGUAAUUAAAGUGUCCAUGAUGGUAACUUUUCCCAAGCAAAGCCACAGUCUGUCUUAAAGGUGAGAUGAGAUCUUUAUCUCUACAGACAGAAAAUGUUGUAACUUUUAAAUGGCAGUUCACCUCCUGCUUGUUGAGGUUUACAGGGCAGCUUAACAGGUGGGUAGGUGCAGUGGAUGGGCAGAGAGAUAACUGAUAUAUAAGACAGAGAGAUAUGUGGACAUAUUUUCUUACUGUAGUGCUUUUAAAAAUAUGUACAAUUUAAAAUAAACUUUUGCUUUCAAAAUUUCACUAUUUUUGUUGCAGUGAUAACCACCAAGCCAAAGGGACAGGAAGCUCUCGGCAUUGUUGGUGUUUUACUCAAGCCAUGGUAUGAAGCUUCUUUUUGGUCUAAAAGUAUGUGUUUUUAGUAAUAGCAACUCUAGAACUUCAGAGGCAGUGUAAGUGUUGGUUCUAAUUGGUAACGUUACAUAUCUGAGGAUCACAGGGCUGCGGAAGUUAAGACAUCUAAUCGAGUGCUCGCAGAACAGCUCCUUUGAAACAGAACAUGCUUUCCUCUAGUUGUGGAUUAAGUGCAACCCUUUCACAGAC
rnacentral:lncRNA from 10 species